GGAGACAAGCACAAAGACAGGUGAAACUAAUCAGGGUGUGACAAUAUCGGUAUUUGGACCCUCAUUCGUCACAAAUGCAGUAUAACCUGAGACUGAGGUCCCAGCUAGUGAUGAAGAUAAGAGAUUACCUCUGCUAUGUGCAUGGUGCGUGUCCUUGAGAUACCUCUCCAGUUCCUUUCCUACUCUAUUGUAGUCUGUUUGUGUUAAUUAUUUUUUGUUUCCAUUCUAGGGUUUGUGGAUGUUGAAAACACCCACCUUAUUUAAGAGGACUCCAUGGUUAGGUGCACUUCACACAACAUUUUACUUAAUCCAAACACAAUUUUGGAUAAAUUAUUUGUAUUAUAGUCUCGUAGCUCCUCUAUUAAAUUAUUUAUAGAGCAGUGAGGAGCCAGUCCUCCGAUCAUGUUUAUGUAUUUUCCAGGGUGCAAAGAAGUUUGUGGUGCCCUCAAGAGAACCUGGUCAAUUUUACUCCCUGCCUCAGAGUCUUCAACAGUUUAAACAGCAUCUCAUGGUGGCUGUCAUUGAUAGGUACUUUCAACUGGCCCGGUGCUACAGAGAUGAAGGUUCCAAACCAGACAGACAGCCCGAAUUCACCCAGGUGGACAUUGAAAUGUAAUAUGUGGAUCAAGCUGGAAUCUGACGGCUGAUUGAGGGCUUGGUCCAGUACGCCUGGCCUGUGGAGAAAGGACCUUUUUCCACACCCUUACCCUGCAUGAUGUAUGAAGAAGCAAUGAAGGACUAUGGAGGGGACAUGCCAGACACACAAUUCGCUGUAGUUUGGUCAAAAUACUUUAAAAUU